rnacentral:misc_RNA from 1 species
AACGCACAUUGCGCCCGCCAGCACUCUGGCGGGCAUGCCUGUUCGAGCGUCAUUUCAACCCUCAGGCCCCCUGCGGCCUGGUGCUGGGGCGCUGCCGCCGCGCGGCGCGCAGGCCCUGAAAGCUAGUGGCGGGCUCGCCAGCACGCUGGGCGCAGUAAUCUUCUCUCGCCCGUGGUGUUCCGGCGCGGUCUUGCCGUCAAAAACCCCCUAAACUUCUAGUGGUUGACCUCGGAUCAGGUAGGAAUACCCGCUGAACUUAA